rnacentral:lncRNA from 1 species
CGCUUACUCUACCAUACCUUCUUAUUAGGGAUAAUUGCCUAUAUACCUCUCGUACGUUUGAAAAUAUUCGAUUUAUUUUUUUUUCUUUUUUUUUUCUAAAAUACCGCUCAUAUGUUUCACCGUUAUUGCAAAAUACCUCCGCAGUUAUCUCCUAUUAAGUUAACUUGGGUUAAACAUGAGUUAAAUAUCUACUGUACAGUUAAAAAAAAUUAAAAUACUAAUUUUGCCCUUAACUUAAGAGCAAAUAAGAAAGUAGUUUAAAAAAAUUAAAAUACCAAUUUUGCCCUUAACUUAAGAGCAAAUAAGAAAGGCUGGUGACGGUAGAGGGGUAUAGGCUUUAUUUGGGAUUGCGGGGUGAUUGCGUUACGUGCGGUGAGAAAUGACGAUGGGAAAAUACCAUGUUUAUUUCCAUACAUAAUAUUGCGUUCUGCAUAUCGCGAUGAGUCGGUUAUGAUAUAUUUUCUGCGAUGCCACCGGAGAAUGCAGAAGCAUAUCCUUAUAUGCUUUUUUCUCAACUCCAUUUUAUCUAAUAGCGUUAGAUAGACAUCAAUACCAAACUAAGCCAUAUUGAAAAAGAUCAAAAGUCAAAAUACUUUUUGUACCCCUGACUUUAAGGGCAAAUAAGAAAGACAGUGAUGGUGGAAGGGUAUAUUUUAAAGCGCAAAAUAGUACUUUUACAGAGAUAAUAGAGUUAAUUAACAGCUUUUAACUCUAGGGGUAUAUUAGAAAUACGUUGGAACGUAAAAAGGGUAUUUUCAAUAUUAACCUUCUAAGAGGGGUAAAUCAAAAAGUCUGAAAUUUUUUAGGGGUAUAAAAGCAAUUGCCCUUUAUUAUUAUUACUAUUGAGAUACCAUACAAUAAGGGAUAAUAUCUAAUAUACCUUUCAAAUCUCAAUAAAUAUUUAAAAUAUUUUUGAUUGACCAAAAUUUUUUUAUUGAUUUUUAAAAAUAUCUUUUACAUAUUUUU